rnacentral:rRNA from 1 species
AUGCGCAACGAAGAGGCGGGCUUGCCGACCAGCUCGUCGGAGGUGAGAGACGAUGACCCGGUGAUGGAGGAAGCCUACGAUGACGAGCCGAAGGCACAUGCGCACUUCAAUGCUGUUAUGGCAAAGGAGCAAACCGUGUUGGCGUUCCAGCAAGCGCAGGAGGAGCAGCGGUACAACCUCGCCCUCUUCGCACAUCACCGUCUAGCGAAGGGCCAAAUCUACAUCGAGUUCGCGAGAGGUCAUGGUCAUGGACAACCCAAACUUCGUCGAGGAGCAGCGAGAAUUCUACGAGGUGUGCGCAGCACCCGCGUGGCGGUCCAAGACGAGAAUGCAUGCAACUGCACGCCAUUGGCGUUGCUGCGGUGA